rnacentral:tRNA from 1 species
AUUCUUAAAGUAAUAAUUUACACUUAAUUUCGACUUAAGAAUAUGAUUAUUUUUAAUCUAAGAAUU